GUGCCCGUAGCUCAGUUUGCAGAGCGGUGGAAAUGUGAUCCACAGUCCCGGGUUCAAGUCCCGGCGGGCGCU